CACCCGAUGGCACAGGGUGUGUGUCUGCUACCUUUGAGAACCCAGUGUAGAAUUUAUGCAGAAGGUCCUCGUUUGAUUCGGGGUCGGGUGA